UCGUCUUCCAUUUCUGUUCGCCUGCAUUAAUUUCACUUGUCUGUCCGGUGCAGAUGGCAGCACAAGGGUGAUUUACGUCGCGAUGUUUGUCUGAAUGUUCUUUAGAAUAAGGAAGGCUCACAUAGGCCUAUAAAGUCCGUGUGAUUGUUCUUAAUAUUUAUAGCGUCUUUAAUUGUGUGACUUUAAUUCCACAGUUAUAUUUCCGACCGGCAAACUACUUUCUGGUAUUUCGUGUUUGAUGGUUGUCGUCACUGUUUAUAGGAAAAUGUCGGGAUAAUAAAUGAAUUGUAAAUUAAACAAAUUUAAGUUCAGAAACGGCAGCUGGUGUUUGCGUGUACGAGAAGGUUAAGUAAGUUCUUAACAUUUAUCGACCCCACUCCGACAGUGGCGAUAUGAUCUCCCAGUGUCACGUCCCUCAGUUUAAGGUCCCACGUCAUUGCAUGGCUCAUUUACUGCCACCUCUCGACAGGGAUUGGUAAGCCUUGAAUCUUUCAUAUGUGUCACUCAAGAUCAUUGUAUCAAUUUCUUAGCUUCCCCUCAACUGUUUCAACAAGGCGAACGUCCAGAUGUAAGGGCUCUUCAGAACAUGCUUGUUAUAUGUGCUUAAUUUAUAGAAAUGUAAAUGCUAAGCGCUGUGUUGAUGUAUAGCAUUUAAAAAAAUGAAUAAUUUAAUUAUACAAGUUCCUUGCUGUCUGUUACA